UGCACGCAGGAGGUCAGGAGUUCGACUCUCCUUAACUCCACCAUUAUUAAACAUCAAAAGCAUACAUAAGCAAUUUAAAUAAGAUUUCUUAUUUAUGCUUUAACUUUAUAAACUGACGAAGUUUAUAUCACUAUUUAACAACGUAUAUAUGAGUCUGGGUUAAUUAUUUAAUUCCAACAAAUAAUUAACCAUGGUGAUUGUACCCAAUACAAUCACCUAAAGUAAAGAGAACUGAAUCAAGCGUAAACAUAGGUGAAUCGUUACACAUUACCCAUACAUUAAAGACCCUUUGGGGUUGUAU
rnacentral:misc_RNA from 1 species